rnacentral:rRNA from 1 species
GACGAACGCUGGCGGCGUGCUUAACACAUGCAAGUCGAACGGAAAGGCCCUGCUUUUGUGGGGUGCUCGAGUGGCGAACGGGUGAGUAACACGUGAGUAACAUGCCCUUGACUUUGGGAUAACUUCAGGAAACUGGGGCUAAUACCGGAUAGGAGCUCCUGCUGCAUGGUGGGGGUUGGAAAGUUUCGGCGGUUGGGGAUGGACUCGCGGCUUAUCAGCUUGUUGGUGGGGUAGUGGCUUACCAAGGCUUUGACGGGUAGCCGGCCUGGGAGGGUGACCGGCCACAUUGAGACUGAGAUACCGCCCAGACUCCUACGGGAAGCAGCAGUGGGAAAUAUUGCACAAUGGGCGGAAGCCAGAUGCAGCAACGCCGCGUGCGGGAUGACGGCCUUCGGUUUGUAAACCGCUUUCGCCUGUGACGAAGCGUGAGUGACGGUAAUGGAUAAAGAAGCACCGGCUAACUACGUG